CUCCACCUUCGUCCCCCGGGGCUUCUCGCUGCUGGGGAGUCCUGACUGCACUAAAAAAAGAAAGAGAGAAGGAGAUUGUGCCGGAGAGAAAAAACAGUGCUGGAGAAACCGUUUCCAAAGAUCUAUUUAACAUGUAAACGGAGGAAGAUUAAUAUCUCUGGAACAGUCCCCAAACGUCUUGCCAAGGGCACAGGUUUUCAGCUUUAAAGGCCAUUUUAAUUUAAGAAAACAAAAGAUGAUCCUGUGAACACUGUAUCAGACAUCAUUACUGGACUGAAAAAAGGAUCACUUGAUGGACAUGCCUGGCAUUUUGUUUAGAAGUAUUUCUUCUCUGGCCUUAGAAGAUUAGUUUUCAAAGCGAUGGUAAAAUCAUUGAUGUACGUCUUUUCAAGAAAAAGAAAAAAAAAGACUCCUAAAUGCCAAACAUUUGCUCUUUGGAGCAUAGCAAGAAGAAAGGGAGAGGACCAGACGGCCACAUCCUAAGAACAGAGUAUUGUCCAGGUAGCUGUCACCCCAAAUGGGAUCUCUUUCCAGGUCUUUUUGUUAAAGUUUUUCUUUCCUAAAUAAAACUUAAUUUUCCCUCGCUAA